CAACCGACUAAGCCACCCAGGCGCCCCUCACUGUGACUAUUUUAAACGACUAGUUGCCGAUCAAAGUGCCCAGCGCUCCUCCAUGCGAAGGGGUGCUCUGUUCCUUCUCUCGACUCUGGACGGGCUUGUGGCUGCUUCGACCAAUUGAGUGUAGCAACAGUGACCCUGUGUGAUUUCUGAGGCUGUCAUAAAAUGCCACAUCACUUCUGCCUCACUUUACUGGAACACUGGUCAAGCCCUUGUUUGCUAGAACACUCCCGAAGCAUUCUGGAAGCUGGAACGCUCAAGAAGUCCAACUAUCCCGAGGCCACCAAGCUUCAAAAAGCCACGGGGUAGGCAGGCCCUCCAGUCGGCAGUCCCAGCCGAGCCCAGCCUUUGGGUCACCCCAGCCCAGGUGCCCAGGCACAUGGGUGAAAAAGUCGCCAGAGGAUUCCAGCCCCUCGCCAUUCGCACGUCCAGUCAUUGUGGAGCAGAGAAAAGACGUCCUUCCUGUGCCCUGUUUGGACUCCUGAUUUUCAGAAUCUAGGAUCAUGAUACGGAGGUGGUGGUUUUGUGUCGCUGCCUUUUGGAGUGGUUUGUUUCACAGCAGUAGUAACUGCAACAAUGAAAAGAGCCUAGACAGCUGUCCAGAGAGAACUUGGGGGGGGGGUGUUGUGGCGGGGACAAACCAGGAAGGCAAAGCCAGAGUCGUCCUCAGCAGACAGGGGAAGGAGAAAGCCUCAAGAUGUUCCUAUGCUAAUACUCUCCAUCCUGACGCGUGUCUGUGCUGUCAGCACAGACAGAGGAACGUGACACUCACUGGGGCUGGCCACUAACUUGGUCAUUUACUGAAGACUCUGUGUGGGACGCAUUGCAGGGCCCGGGGACCCACUGAAGAAAGGAACACUGUCUGGUGGGGCAGAGACACAGGGAAACACGUGAAUCAAGCAUUUUUAGGGUCGACCCACAGGAGGAGGAGCCUCAGUUUCUUUCUCCAUUGGACACAGUCCGAGGGAGCUUUAUACAGACACCCCGGGGAUGGGCAUGGGAGGCAAGCAAAGCCAGACACUUCUCCCUGGACUGUGAAUCUGAGCAGAGGGACGAAGCACCACUCAUCCCAUGGUGGACUCCGGGCCCAUUCGUCCCCCAGAUGCUGUGAAUAUUGGUUGCACAUGGCUUACAGCCGACCUGUCCCUGAAGAUCUGACCUCAGCCAAGGGCAGCCACCUCACCAAGAAAAUGCCUGGGGGAUCCCCUCCGCCCCCCGGCCUCCUUGACCAAGAACUAAUACUCGGAUACAUAAAAAAAUCAACCCCCAGGGUCGCCUGGGUGGUUCAUUCGGUUA